AUUGAACGCUGGCGGCAUGCCUUACACAUGCAAGUCGAACGCGUGUAGCAAUACACGAGUGGCGCACGGGUGAGUAACGCGUGGAUAUCUGCCUUUUGGUUCGGAAUAACCCCGGGAAACUGGGGCUAAUAACGGAUGGUUCCUUCGGGAUAAAGAUUUAUCGCCAAAAGAUGAGUCCGCGUCCGAUUAGCUAGUUGGUGAGGUAAUGGCUCACCAAGGCGACGAUCGGUAGCUGGUCUGAGAGGACGAUCAGCCACACUGGGACUGAGACACGGCCCAGACUCCUACGGGAGGCAGCAGUGGGGAAUCUUGCGCAAUGGGCGAAAGCCUGACGCAGCCAUGCCGCGUGGAUGAUGAAGGUCUUAGGAUUGUAAAAUCCUUUCACCGGUGAAGAUAAUGACUGUAGCCGGAGAAGAAGCCCCGGCUAACUUCGUGCCAGCAGCGCGGUAAAAC
rnacentral:rRNA from 1 species